rnacentral:lncRNA from 10 species
CUCCUGCCAACUUGGCAGCUCAUCGCUGCUGUUACUAUCAACACCUCCAAGGGAAAAGGGAGAGGAGUCAGCUCUGAUCGCCUGGCGCACUGUGCAGCAAAUUCAUGUCAGAGCCAGCCUUGGAAUGUCUCCCAAGCUCCCAAGGCUCCUGGUGAGGAGGAAAAGGGAUAACCUUAGGUACCUCACUGGGUUACAGCCGAUGGUGAUGAAGACAUGAAGAUGAUGCCUGUGUUCUCCUUGGGAGCCUUUCUCCCAGAUGUGAAACUGAUCCUAAGACCCCCUGUAAUUUCCUGCUGAAAAUCUCCACCAAGAAACACAGCCACAGCCACAGUUCUUCCUGGUAAGAAGCCCCCAGGGCCAGGCAACAAGAAAAGUGAGCUCGUUCAGCAGGCUGGGAUGUAAAUAAGCCACAAGAGGCUGUGCCAUUCUGGGUUGCACCUGUGAGCAUCACUCAGCUGAAGCCCCAUCAGCGUUUCCAUGACAAACUCGUAUUUCCGGAUGCCUUUCUUCCAGCUUGAAGAGCCUGCCUCGUGGUUGUGAAAAGUGAAAAAGAAAAUCUAAAAAAGACAAAUGGAGAAGGAACAGCUAGUGAAGUCAGAGGAAGAUUGGAAGACCCUGGUGUCCUGGAAGCAACUGAAGAAAGUGUUUCAAGAAGAAAGGAGUGAUCACAUGACUUAAAAUGCCACCGAUGGGUCAAAUAAGAACAGAGAAUUGACCAUGGAAUCUGUCAACACAGAAGUCAUCAGUGGCCUUGAUAAAUGUAGUUUCACUGCCAUGUGGGGGAAAAAUGAUGUCAUCAGCUGAAAGUGAGAAGCAAGGAGAACUGCGUGCAGGCCUGAAAAGAAAGGAGGCGUGAUGCAGUCAUCUGCCAGAGGGAGUAGGAGAGGCGACUUGCCUGGGGAAAACAGUGUAGGAUUGCUGGGCAGCAAUAUGGCAGCAAUGUGGUCCUCUGAGGUCAGUGGUGAUGAAUUUAAAGGGAAACCUUUCAGUACAGCUCUGUGUUUUUCUCCAGCCACCUUUAACACCUGGAGUGCAGGCAUUAAAUAGCUAAAAGUCACAUUUGACAAGUGUUGAUUUUGCUAGGCCUAUAGGUUGGGAGAGAGAAGGUCAGAAUGGUUGUCAUUGUUAUCUAUUGCUGUGAAACACAUGACUCCAACACAAUUACUCCCAAACAACAAAUAUUUAUUACCUCAUAGUUUCUGUGGGUCACAGUUUGGAAUUUGGAAGCAGCUCAGGCUGGGCAGUUCUGGCUUGGGGUCUUUCACGAGGCUGCAGUCAAAUGUUACCUCAGGUUACAGUCAUCUAAAAGCUUGUAUAGGGCUGGAGGAUCUGCUUCCAGGGUGGUGCACUCACAUGGCUGGCAAGUCAGUAGUGGUGGUUGGUGGACAACUCAGUUCCUCUACAGGCUGUCAGAGUGUACUUACAGCCUGACAACCAGCUUCUCCCAGAGCUACCAGUCCAAGAGGGAGACCUAAUCAGAAGCUAUCCUUCUUUGACCUAUGCUCAGAAGUGACAUUGCGUUCCUU